AACAGAGGUUCAGAGAAGUUAGGCCGCUGGCUCGAGGUUCCUCAGCUAAUACGUGGCAGAGUGGGGUCCUGCCAUGGCCUCUGGCUCUUUCCACUGAGCUGCACUGCCGCUUGGUUGGCCACCCUUUGGAAAGCAGCGCUGGAGAUUUUCCAUCUUGAUGGUGAAAUGUGCCUUAUAAAGAAGCUGUUGGCCCAGGGGGAAGAAGGGAAUGGGUGAGUGGAGUUGUGCUCCCCAGAAGCUGCCACUGAUUUUGCCCCUGCCAGCAAAGGCAUCUUGAUGAAAGGACUACUCAUAAAGAGCUCCCUCCUAGAAAGGCCAGUGGAACAAUCUGGGGACAAUUACACGAGCACCAGUAGCUGCUGGGCAAAAUUACCUGGAUUUGAAUACAUGAAGCCACUCUCUCCUUGCCUCCCUUGUUCCAACCCGUCGAAACACCUGAUGAGGCUCUAGAAACCAAGUUUUAGGAGGGAUGUCUGAAGGAGGAUGAGAUGUUCCAACUGGAGAAGAG
rnacentral:lncRNA from 1 species